rnacentral:rRNA from 1 species
GAUGAACGCUGGCGGCGUGCUUAACACAUGCAAGUCGAACGAAACACCUUAUUUGAUUUUCUUCGGAACUGAAGAUUUGGUGAUUGAGUGGCGGACGGGUGAGUAACGCGUGGGUAACCUGCCCUGUACAGGGGGAUAACAGUCAGAAAUGACUGCUAAUACCGCAUAAGACCACAGCACCGCAUGGUGCAGGGGUAAAAACUCCGGUGGUACAGGAUGGACCCGCGUCUGAUUAGCUGGUUGGUGAGGUAACGGCUCACCAAGGCGACGAUCAGUAGCCGGCUUGAGAGAGUGAACGGCCACAUUGGGACUGAGACACGGCCCAAACUCCUACGGGAGGCAGCAGUGGGGAAUAUUGCACAAUGGGGGAAACCCUGAUGCAGCGACGCCGCGUGAGUGAAGAAGUAUUUCGGUAUGUAAAGCUCCAUCAGCAGGGAAGAAAAUGACGGUACCUGACUAAGAAGCCCCGGCUAACUACGUG